AUUAAAGGAGAAGAUUGUUCUUCUACCAAACAUAUGCAGAUCAAAUCACGUCUUAUAAUAAGAAGAAAUCUUUCUCGGUAUCAAUCCCCUUGCCCCUCAUUCUUUGAGAAUCAGAAGGAUCCUUUUCGAGUUUCCAUUUCUUCAUUUGGAAUCUGGGCUCUUCUAUCUUCGACUUAUUUUUUUGGCUUUAUUCUUUAUUUAUUUCAUUUUGAUUUUCUCUUCCUCUAUCCCUAUCCUCUAAGUACAACGUUUGCAUCAAUAGAGAACCUUUUCCUCUGUAUGAAUCUAUAUUAUUCCCAUUUCUUCCCGAAACUUCCCAAGAAAAAUCCCGAAUUGAUCCAAAAUUGA
rnacentral:rRNA from 1 species